rnacentral:lncRNA from 1 species
UUGUGAGCAAACAGUGCGACUGUAUGAGGUGUCUGUCCGGCUGGCAUAUCUUCAGGGGAUUCCUGCAGUUUGAUCAGCUGUUUGUCAGAAAACAUGGACCUGUUGUGAAUCAGAGCCAUACUGUGCGUUGUGUUACAGUUCUUGCACACUGAUGGUUCAGCAAUCCUGCCACGGUCAAUUUCUACUCUUGUGGUGAAUGCGCAGACCUGGC